AUUAAACGCUGGCGGCAUGCCUUACACAUGCAAGUCGAACGGCAGCACGGGGGCAACCCUGGUGGCGAGUGGCGGACGGGUGAGUAAAGCAUCGGAACGUAUCCUGGAGUGGGGGAUAACGUAGCGAAAGUUACGCUAAUACCGCAUAUUCUGUGAGCAGGAAAGCAGGGGAUCGCAAGACCUUGCGCUCUGGGAGCGGCCGAUGUCGGAUUAGCUAGUUGGUGGGGUAAAGGCCUACCAAGGCGACGAUCCGUAGCGGGUCUGAGAGGAUGAUCCGCCACACUGGGACUGAGACACGGCCCAGACUCCUACGGGAGGCAGCAGUGGGGAAUUUUGGACAAUGGGCGCAAGCCUGAUCCAGCCAUGCCGCGUGAGUG
rnacentral:rRNA from 1 species